CAGUCGCCGCGGGAAUACGUAGGUGGCAAGCGUUGUCCCGAAUUAUUGGGCGUAAAGGGCUCGCAGGCGGUUUCUUAAGUCUGAUGUGAAAGCCCCCGGCUCAACCGGGGAGGGUCAUUGGAAACUGGGAAACUUGAGUGCAGAAGAGGAGAGUGGAAUUCCACGUGUAGCGGUGAAAUGCGUAGAGAUGUGGAGGAACACCAGUGGCGAAGGCGACUCUCUGGUCUGUAACUGACGCUGAGGAGCGAAAGCGUGGGGAGCGAACAGGAUUAGAUACCCCGUAGUCCCUGUCUCUUAUACA
rnacentral:rRNA from 1 species